rnacentral:rRNA from 1 species
UACGUAGGGCGCGAGCGUUGUCCGGAUUUAUUGGGCGUAAAGAGCUCGUAGGCGGUCUGUUGCGUCGGCUGUGAAAACCCGGGGCUCAACUCCGGGCCUGCAGCCGAUACGGGCAGACUAGAGUUCGGCAGGGGAGACUGGAAUUCCUGGUGUAGCGGUGAAAUGCGCAGAUAUCAGGAGGAACACCGGUGGCGAAGGCGGGUUGCUGGGCCGACACUGACGCUGAGGCGCGAAAGCUAGGGGGAGCGAACGGG